GAGUUUGAUCCUGGCUCAGGAUGAACGCUAGCGGCAGGCUUAAUACAUGCAAGUCGAGGGGCAUCAGCUUAUAGCAAUAUAGGGCUGGCGACCGGCAAACGGGUGCGGAACACGUACACAACCUUCCUUUAAGAGGGGGAUAGCCCAUAGAAAUGUGGAUUAAUACCCCGUAAGAUAGUGGGAUGGCAUCAUACUACUAUUAUAGUUACGACGCUUGAAGAUGGGUGUGCGUCUGAUUAGGUAGUUGGCGGGUAAAGGCCCACCAAGCCUUCGAUCAGUAGCUGAUGUGAGAGCAUGAUCAGCCACGGGCACUGAGACACGGGCCCGACUCCUACGGGAGGCAGCAGUAAGGAAUAUUGGUCAAUGGACGCAAGUCUGAACCAGCCAUGCCGCGUGAAGGGUGAAGGUCCUCUGGAUUGUAAACUUCUUUUAUAGGGGGCGAAAAAAGGGAAAUCUUUCUCACUUGACAGUACCCUAUGAAUAAGCACGGCUAACUCCGUGCCAGCAGCCGACCG
rnacentral:rRNA from 1 species